AUUGAACGCUGGCGGCAGGCCUAACACAUGCAAGUCGAGCGGAUGAAGGGAGCUUGCUCCUGGAUUCAGCGGCGGACGGGUGAGUAAUGCCUAGGAAUCUGCCUGGUAGUGGGGGCUAACGUCCGGAAACGGGCGCUAAUACCGCAUACGUCCUGAGGGAGAAAGUGGGGGAUCUUCGGACCUCACGCUAUCAGAUGAGCCUAGGUCGGUUUAGCUAGUUGGUGGGGUAAAGGCCUACCAAGGCGACGAUCCGUAACUGGUCUGAGAGGAUGAUCAGUCACACUGGAACUGAGACACGGUCCAGACUCCUACGGGAGGCAGCAGUGGGGAAUAUUGGACAAUGGGCGAAAGCCUGAUCCAGCCAUGCCGCGUGUGUGAAGAAGGUCUUCGGAUUGUAAAGCACUUUAAGUUGGGAGGAAGGGCAGUAAGUUAAUACCUUGCUGUUUUGACGUUACCAACAGAAUAAGCACCGGCUAACUUCGUG
rnacentral:rRNA from 1 species